UACGUAGGUGGCAAGCGUUGUCCGGAAUUACUGGGUGUAAAGCGCGUGUAGGCGGCAGACCAAGUCGGCGGUGAAAGCGCCCGGCUCAACUGGGCGAGGUCCGUGGAAACUGGUCAGCUGGAGGACGGUAGAGGCGAGUGGAAUUCCUGGUGUAGCGGUGAAAUGCGCAGAUAUCAGGAGGAACACCAAUGGCGAAGGCAGCUCGCUGGGACGGUACUGGACGCUGAGGCGCGAAAGCGUGGGGAGCAAACAGG
rnacentral:rRNA from 1 species